UAUGUUUAUUUUUUUUUAGUUCUAAAAAUAAAAGAGCUCAAACUGUUACAAUUAGCAAAGAAAUACAUGGAUUAUUUGGAAGAAUUUACUCCAGUUACUGCCUUCUGUGAAGCUAAAAUUGAUGAAAACAGAGGUUAUUUUGUGCAUUUUUAUCGUAAAGGGAAUAAAUAAAAACAUAAUUCCUUUUUUUUCCUUUUUUUUAAACUAAUAAUUGUAAUUUAUUUUCUAAGAAAAUAUGUCCUUAAAUCCUAAAAGACACAAACCAUAAUAUUAUAAUAAACGGCAUGAUUUUUCCAUCUGCACUACUAUAAUAAUAUAUUGUAAUUUAUAACACCAUUUUUCUUAAUCCCUUUAUAUUAUUUAAUACCUAUAUUACUAUUAGUAUUACUAUUAGUAUUACUAUUUUAAAUGUAUUUCUUCAUAUAUCCAAAUUUAUAUAAUAUGUACGUAUUGAUUAAUAUACUGUGUCAAACAAUAACCUUUGUAUGUUACGUUUCUUGCUAAUAAUCAAUAAUCAAUAUAGUUGUUAUCUAUCUAUC